GGAUGUCCAGAAUUGGCUCACGAAGACAGGAUUAACAAAUGACUCGUUGCUACGCAAACAGACUGGGGAUGAUCUAUUGUUUCUGCGUGAAGUAUCUCACAGGGCACCCGAGUUUUACUUCAACUAUCUGCUGACUAAUCUUCAGCUGCCCUUUGGUGACCUCAAGAAGUUCAGCAGAGCUGUUGACAAACUGUGAAUCAUUAUCCCAACUGUGUGAAGUUUUGGAUCUAAUGUGUAUUACAUUACAAACUCUCAGAUGUAUCACUGGACGAAUACGUGGCAUAGGUUGACUUGCAGAUAGUUAUACAUGCCUGUGUAAUUGACAUUGUGUCUGCUGCAUAUAGCAUCGUUCGAAGUCAGUCUAAUCAUGUGUAAUAUAGUACAGACAUAUGUACCCUACUACGCCCACCCCCAUAACUACUAACCCCGCCCAAUCCCCACCCCACCAUGCAAGUUGACAGUUUGACAGCCAACUUAUCCAUUUCAUAACAGCCUUUCCUAUGCAUAUUUGUGAUGAUAUCUCUAGAGAUCUGUCUUAUGCUUAUUGACAUGGCU